rnacentral:lncRNA from 1 species
UAGAAUAAGAAUUGGAAAUACCUUUCAUUGUAGGAUCAUCCAAGAUAAAAUGAGAACUUCGCAGGAAUGGCCCGUUAGCUAUUGUACAAACUUGCAACGGAUUGGCGAUCGCGGCCUACUACGGUAGAGUGAGGCAUACUGGUAGUUACCAGGUAGAAGCCGGCUGAAUAAAAUCCUUCAACAAUCACACCGGCAAUAUAAAUCAACCAUGGCCAGUUCCACCAGCGUUUGUAUUCAAGCAAAGCAAGCAGCGAUCGUUUGUU